rnacentral:rRNA from 1 species
AAAACUCUGUUGUCAGGGAAGAACAAGUACCGUUCGAACAGGGCGGUACCUUGACGGUACCUGGCCAGAAAGCCACGGCUAACUACGUGCCAGCAGCCGCGGUAAUACGUAGGUGGCAAGCGUUGUCCGGAAUUAUUGGGCGUAAAGCGCGCGCAGGCGGUCUUUUAAGUCUGAUGUGAAAGCCCACGGCUCAACCGUGGAGGGUCAUUGGAAACUGGAGGACUUGAGUGCAGAAGAGGAGAGCGGAAUUCCACGUGUAGCGGUGAAAUGCGUAGAGAUGUGGAGGAACACCAGUGGCGAAGGCGGCUCUCUGGUCUGUAACUGACGCUGAGGCGCGAAAGCGUGGGGAGCGAACAGGAUUAGAUACCCUGGUAGUCCACGCCGUAAACGAUGAGUGCUAAGUGUUAGAGGGUUUCCGCCCUUUAGUGCUGCAGCAAACGCAUUAAGCACUCCGCCUGGGGAGUACGGCCGCAAGGCUGAAACUCAAAGGAAUUGACGGGGGCCCGCACAAGCGGUGGAGCAUGUGGUUUAAUUCGAAGCAACGCGAAGAACCUUACCAGGUCUUGACAUCCUCUGCCACUCCUGGAGACAGGAGGUUCCCCUUCGGGGGACAGAGUGAC